rnacentral:rRNA from 1 species
CCUACGGGUGGCAGCAGUGAGGAAUAUUGGUCAAUGGACGAGAGUCUGAACCAGCCAAGUAGCGUGAAGGAUGACUGCCCUGUGGGUUGUAAACUUCUUUUAUCAGGGAAUAAAGCGAGGCACGUGUGCCUUUUUGCAUGUACUUUAUGAAUAAGGAUCGGCUAACUCCGUGCCAGCAGCCGCGGUAAUACGGAGGAUCCGAGCGUUGUCCGGAUUUAUUGGGUGUAAAGGGAGCGUAGAUGGGUUGUUAAGUCAGUUGUGAAAGUUUGCGGCUCAACCGUAAAAUUGCAAUUGAUACUGGCAGUCUUGAGUACAGAUGAGGUAGGUGGAAGUCGGGGUGUAGCGGUGAAAUGCGUAGAUAUCACGAAGAACCCCGAUGGCGAAGGCAGCUUACUAAACUGCGACUGACACUGAUGCUCGAAAGUGUGGGUAUCAAACAGGAUUAGAUACCCCGGUAGUC